GUGUGCGACCAUACCAGCACUAACGCACUGGAUCCCAUCAGAACUCCGAAGUUAAGCGUGUUUGGGCGAGAGUAGUCCUAGGAUGGGUGACCCCCUGGGAAGUCCUCGUGUUGCACCCC
rnacentral:rRNA from 1 species